GACAGAGGUGCCAAGCGUUAGGCGGAAUCACUGGGCUUAAAGCGUGUGUAGGCGGAUCGUUAAGUACCUUGUGAAAUCCCACGGCUUAACCGUGGAACUGCUCGGUAUACUGGCGGUCUUGAGCAAUCUAGGGGCGAGCGGAACAAAUGGUGGAGCGGUGAAAUGCGUAGAUAUCAUUUGGAACGCCAAUGGUGAAAACAGCUCGCUGGGGGUUUGCUGACGCUGAGACACGAAAGCCAGGGGAGCAAACGGG
rnacentral:rRNA from 1 species